rnacentral:rRNA from 1 species
AGCAGCCGCGGUAAUUCCAGCUCCAAUAGCGUAUAUUAAAGUUGUUGCAGUUAAAAGCUCGUAGUUGAAUUUCGGGAUUGGCGUAUCGGUCGUGCCUUAAUUGGCAUGCACUGGUAGUUGUCAAUCUCCACCUUCUAGCGAACUGCUAUGCCUUUUACUAGGUGUAGUAGGGAGCUAGGACUGUUACUUUGAAAAAUUGAGUGUUUAAAGCAGGCUUUAUGCUUGAAUACAUUAGCAUGGAAUAAUGAAAUAGGACGGUAUGAUUCUAUUUUGUGGUUUCUAGGAUCACCGUAAUGAUUAAUAGGGAUAGUUGGGGGCAUUAGUAUUCAAUUGUCAGAGGUGAAAUUCUUGGAUUUAUUGAAGACUAACUACUGCGAAAGCAUUUGCCAAGGAUGUUUUCAUU